AUGUCGAACAAGAAAACCAGAGAACAGAUUCCUUCGCUUGAUCAGGAAAGAUUUUGUUUUCCCGAGCCAACGAACGCAGGUUCAUACAUGUUGAAGGCAAGUCUUUUGUGGUUGCGUUUGACCGUACACUUGUUAUGGCGUACAUGUUCCAGUAAUGAUGCAAGUCAGAUAUUUGGACGCAAUGAUGGCUGGAGCAAAGCCGACUCACGAUGA